rnacentral:rRNA from 1 species
GGCGGCGUGCUUAACACAUGCAAGUCGAACGGUGAAGCCCCGCUUGCGGGGUGGAUCAGUGGCGAACGGGUGAGUAACACGUGAGCAACCUGCCCCUGACUCUGGGAUAAGCGCUGGAAACGGCGUCUAAUACUGGAUACGAGACGUGAUCGCAUGGUCAACGUUUGGAAAGAUUUUUCGGUUGGGGAUGGGCUCGCGGCCUAUCAGCUUGUUGGUGAGGUAAUGGCUCACCAAGGCGUCGACGGGUAGCCGGCCUGAGAGGGUGACCGGCCACACUGGGACUGAGACACGGCCCAGACUCCUACGGGAGGCAGCAGUGGGGAAUAUUGCACAAUGGGCGCAAGCCUGAUGCAGCAACGCCGCGUGAGGGAUGACGGCCUUCGGGUUGUAAACCUCUUUUAGCAGGGAAGAAGCGAGAGUGACGGUACCUGCAGAAAAAGCACCGGCUAACUACGUGCCAGCAGCCGCGGUAAUACGUAGGGUGCAAGCGUUAUCCGGAAUUAUUGGGCGUAAAGAGCUCGUAGGCGGUUUGUCGCGUCUGCUGUGAAAUCUGGGGGCUCAACCCCCAGCCUGCAGUGGGUACGGGCAGACUAGAGUGCGGUAGGGGAGAUUGGAAUUCCUGGUGUAGCGGUGGAAUGCGCAGAUAUCAGGAGGAACACCGAUGGCGAAGGCAGAUCUCUGGGCCGUAACUGACGCUGAGGAGCGAAAGGGUGGGGAGCAAAC